rnacentral:rRNA from 1 species
UACGAAGGGGGCUAGCGUUGCUCGGAAUCACUGGGCGUAAAGCGCACGUAGGCGGAUUGCUAAGUCAGGGGUGAAAUCCUGGAGCUCAACUCCAGAACUGCCUUUGAUACUGGCGAUCUUGAGUCCGGGAGAGGUGAGUGGAACUGCGAGUGUAGAGGUGAAAUUCGUAGAUAUCGGGAGGAACACCAGUGGCGAAGGCGGCGAUCUGGACAGAUAUUGACGCUGAGGUGCGAAAGCGUGGGGAGCAAACAGG